rnacentral:rRNA from 1 species
UCUAAGUCAGAAUCCGUGCUAGAAACGAUGAUGUUGGUGUCGCACAUUAGACUUGUGUUUAAAUAGAGCUUUGCUCGUGAACCAAAUAUGGUGGGCUGGGUUGUCUUUGCGGAAACGCUUAGGCGACUUGUCUACGAAUUGUAAUCAUAAUAUGGGCGGCGGUGAAUCCUUUGCAGACGACUUGAAUGGGAACGGGGUACUGUAAGUGGUAGAGUAGCCUUGUUGCUACGAUCCACUGAGGUUAAGCCCUUGUUCUAAAGAUUUGUUC